rnacentral:rRNA from 1 species
CAGUAGCCGCGGUAACACAGAGGGUGCGAGCGUUAAUCGGAUUUACUGGGCGUAAAGCGUGCGUAGGCGGCUUCUUAAGUCGGAUGUGAAAUCCCUGAGCUUAACUUAGGAAUUGCAUUCGAUACUGAGAAGCUAGAGUAUGGGAGAGGAUGGUAGAAUUCCAGGUGUAGCGGUGAAAUGCGUAGAGAUCUGGAGGAAUACCGAUGGCGAAGGCAGCCAUCUGGCCUAAUACUGACGCUGAGGUACGAAAGCAUGGGGAGCAAACAGGAUUAGAUACCCCGGUAGUCCCUGUCUCUUAUAC